rnacentral:lncRNA from 1 species
CUGUCCAUUAGAAAACCAAAGUAAUAAGAUUUUAUGGUUUGGCUACUAAGUCAACAUGGUUAGCUAAACUUUGGCUUAUGGAGUUCUGCUAUUUUUAUGGUACAGUUAAAUAUAAGAGACUUAGCCUGAGGAUGGGCUAAUAAACUAGAAAUAUUUUCCCUCCAGUUCACCCCCAUCAGUCUUAAUAGUUUAUUGCUUUUCUCUGCUCAGUUUUGGUCCAUGUGAAAGUAGUGAAAACCUGUUCAGUCCUUGCACUGUUGUAAGACUGAUUCCUGUGAAGAAACAGGCUGCUAAAAAGAGAACUGGUGAGCUCAAAGAAAGAUACCCACUUCUACCAUGUUCUAGGAAGACCUCUAUGUCAACAGUACAAAUAUAAGCAUGAUGCCAGAUGUUCUGAAAAUUUCCUUGGGUCCCUCUUUCUGAGAGUUCGGGAGUGAAAGGAGCUGAUUUGGUUUAAAGGUUCUCUGAAGAUUAAUAUUAUCCCUCAUUUGCAGAACCAUUAAAAACUUGUAAUCAAGCAAAUGAGAACGUAAAUCUGUACAUUUUGGACAGAUUUUCUACAAUCAUUCCCAAACAUAAUUUUUUAAGUGAUAGGAUCACAUUUCAUCUGAAUAUCAAGAAGUUGAAAUCUACAGCUGAAUGCAUCUCUUGUCAGAUAGUCCAUAUCUGAGAAAGGAGAUGAGAAGUAGCUUCUUGUGGAUUGCAGAUUGCAGAGUACUAACCCCAUAAGCAGAUUGCAGAGUACUUACUGAAAGAUUCAAGGUAUGAAUUUAUAUUGCAUACUUACUGGGAUUAUUUCAAGGUAGCAAAAACAAUAACAUUGUUAGCAAUGAUUUAGAAAAAAAAGCUGUUCUCCUUUUGUUUAUGACUUCAGAACGAAUGCAUUACUUUCCAUCUCAGAGGGCCGGUAAAUAGAUAAAACUUUUAACAACUGUAGGGUGCACUGAUACUCUACUGAUAUGAAAUAUAAAUAUCUAGCAUCUAACUCUGGAUCUGUGUUGUCUAUGCAAAGGCAAAGUCUGAUUUAAAUGGGAUUAGCAGUGUGCAUGAAUUUAAGCAUGUCCAUAAAUGUCUGCAAGGCUUUAGUUAUUCAGUGCACUCAUUAUCUCAAUUUGUUGUUUCAUGGAAUUGUUCCAAGUAUCUCAUCUAAUCAGAUCCUCCUGCAGGCACAACAUAUGCUCACAAUAAUGUUAGCUAUAUAUAGAUCCCUCCACAAUUGUGAAAGAUCAAUGGAACAUUUUUAUUGCCAGUGCAUGUAUGUGUCUGUGAAUUAUCCUUCAGGAAUUACAAUCCCUCGAUGAGAUUACAGUGUGAAUUCUAAUGGGUAUAAAGCUGAUGGCAGAAGUGUAAUUUCUCAAAUAAAAGCAUUAUAAUUAAAUAUAAUGUAUACAAACAUACAGCAAUGCAGUAUAAAUAAUAUAAAAUGGAUACAAGUAAUAUGAUUUAAUUAAAAAACAAGCUUGACACUAUUGCUUGUAUACCAGUUGCAAAUUCAAUCCAUAAAUAAAGAAAAACAAUGUCAUUGUGCUGAAUGAAAAUCAGCCAGAUGUUCUUCAUUGAAAAUGUUUACCUCGGUAGUAAAGCAUGUUUAUUUCAGGCACCUAAUGACUGACCUUUGAUAUUUAAGCUUGAAAUGCAGAUGGCAAAUAGCCCAGAUAAUUCCGUUCUCCAUAAUGCUGUUGUAAAUCUGUUGUGUACUGUAUAUUAUGGAAAGUAGAGUAAAAUGUGACAUAAAGGUUGUGGCCUAUUUCUGCUUUCUUUGUUGCUUUCAUCUACAAAGGCAUUCAUAGGAAUCAAUUAAAGUAUGUAUAAAAUAUUACUUGAAAUGUAAACCCAUCAGAAUUUGACUCUUUAGAGCCUGAAAGUACUUAAUAGUACUUUUCAUUUACUCACCCUAUUUAAAUGACAGUCAACAAUAGAACUAAGAACAUUUCUGUCUUGCUAUAGAGGUGAUUGUAUUAGAUAUUAGAAUUACUAAAUAAUUUUACCUACUGGAUGGAUUCAGCAUGAAGCAGUGUAAAAUUAAUUUGAUAGCAUAUAGUUUAUCCAAUGUUACUAUCUUUGUUUCUAGAUAUAUAACUUCCUUUCUGCCAUGCUAUUCAAUAUAUUCUUUUGAUAACAGCCGGAAAAAUUGUGCUGUGAAACUAAAUAUUACAUUUUUUUUCCUUAUGAUCAUUUGCCACUUUUAAAUUUCUAUCAAAGUUCAGGAUAUCUAGAUGGAAAAAUUCAAAUAUUAGCACUUUCAAACAGUGAAAAUGAACUUAAUGCAUCUAAAAUGCCAGGUUCAACAAAGGAUUGGAGGUGGGAGGAAUUAAUGAGGUUUAUGUUGAUCUUAAAUCUGAACAUCCCUUUUUAUUUAAAUAAUAUAUAUAUGGUCUACAUACAUGCAUAUGCAUACACUCACCUGACUGAAGAGACAUUGAUUAGAUAAUGUAGUCAAUAUGUACUCUCCAUUUUUCAAGACAGAAUUCACAUAGAUAUUCAACACUAUUUUAUUCAGGAAUAAAAAACUAUUUAAGAUGUAACUUCCAUUUGCUUCUUUACCUCCUCUGUGUUCCUUUGAGCAUAGGUCUGCUUGCAGACACAUUCAAGUACUAAAAGGGCCAGAAGUUACAAAUGAGUUACAGGUAGCAAGUCUAUAAACAACUAUCAGACAGCAUGAUUUUGUUAUUUAAAAUACAUCUGUAUUUCUUGUCUGUGCAUACACCCCAGUAGCAUUUUGGUAACUUUGGCUUUUCUUUUUUAUCUGGAUUUGCUAAUACACAAAACAGUAAGCAAGGUUAAAACUUAAGCAUUGUACAGACUGGUAAAGACAUUGAUGCCACGUCGUACCUCUACAGAAUCCAAUUUGGUAUUAAUGGAAACAAAAUUGUCUACCACAAGAAUAUGAUUAAACUUAUUUCAUUCUUUUCUUUACCUUUCAAUUUUUGGAGGGAUGCAUAUUAGACCCAACAGAAAUGGGUGAGUCUGAACCAUCACAACUGUAAUGACAGCCCUUCAUUUAAGUAUUUUUACCAUAUAAUAAUUCCUCUGUUCCCAGUCUAAUGUAUUUAUUUGAAGCAUGUAUGUUUGUCUUGAGUACAUUAAUGUCUCCAGAUACAUAUGAUUAUAGGCAGUGAGUGCUUAGUGACAGUCCCUGUAUUAAGAAAUAAACAUUGUGUUUUGUCUGGCUGUCUAUCAGUGGAUCUCAGCUGCUGGUCCAUCAUGGUCCUUAUGGUGACCCCCAAAGUCACAGCUGACAAGCACAAAGAAGGUGGUGCCAAGAAUUAAGAUGGGGGAUGAGCAAUGGUUCAAGAAGUGCAGGUUCAAAUUUGAUUGUACUCGAACAUAUCCUUAAUGUAAGUUUUUCACCAAAUUUUGUUUGGCCUCUAGUUCUUUAGGUGUCAGAGCUGCCUUUCUUGCAGCUUUUUUUUUUAUAUUUUAUUUUUGGCUCCCUCCUGAAACCAGAGAGUAAUACUUACCAAUUGUAGGAUGCAUUGUAUUAACUGAUGUAUACUAUUAGAUAAUGGGCACUGAUGAAAGCUUAGUUUUAGUCAAGUUUUAAUGUUUGUUGUACAUAGUGCUAAAUGGUGUCUUCCAACAUUUUGAUAUGCACAAAUGAGAACUGUAGAGCAG